AGGAAAUGCGGCAGCUUAACAUGCAGUCGACGGCAGCACGGGUGCUUGCACCUGGUGGCGAGUGGCGAACGGGUGAGUAAUACAUCGGAACAUGUCCUGUAGUGGGGGAUAGCCCGGCGAAAGCCGGAUUAAUACCGCAUACGAUCUACGGAUGAAAGCGGGGGACCUUCGGGCCUCGCGCUAUAGGGUUGGCCGAUGGCUGAUUAGCUAGUUGGUGGGGUAAAGGCCUACCAAGGCGACGAUCAGUAGCUGGUCUGAGAGGACGACCAGCCACACUGGGACUGAGACACGGCCCAGACUCCUACGGGAGGCAGCAGUGGGGAAUUUUGGACAAUGGGCGAAAGCCUGAUCCAGCAAUGCCGCGUGUGUGAAGAAGGCCUUCGGGUUGUAAAGCACUUUUGUCCGGAAAGAAAUCCUUGGUCCUAAUACGAUCGGGGGAUGACGGUACCGGAAGAAUAAGCACCGGCUAACUACGUGCCAGCAGCCGCGGUAAUACGUAGGGUGCGAGCGUUAAUCGGAAUUACUGGGCGUAAAGCGUGCGCAGGCGGUUUGCUAAGACCGAUGUGAAAUCCCCGGGCUCAACCUGGGAACUGCAUUGGUGACUGGCAGGCUAGAGUAUGGCAGAGGGGGGUAGAAUUCCACGUGUAGCAGUGAAAUGCGUAGAGAUGUGGAGGAAUACCGAUGGCGAAGGCAGCCCCCUGGGCCAAUACUGACGCUCAUGCACGAAAGCGUGGGGAGCAAACAGGAUAA
rnacentral:rRNA from 1 species